CUACGGGUGGCAGCAGCGGGGAAUAUUGGACAAUGGGGGGAACCCUGAUCCAGCCAUGCCGCGUGUGUGAAGAAGGCCUUUUGGUUGUAAAGCACUUUAAGCAGUGAAGAAGACUCUUCGGUUAAUACCCGGGGACGAUGACAUUAGCUGCAGAAUAAGCACCGGCUAACUCUGCGCCAGCAGCCGCGGUAAUACAGAGGGUGCAAGCGUUAAUCGGAAUUACUGGGCGUAAAGCGAGCGUAGGUGGCUUGAUAAGUCAGAUGUGAAAUCCCCGGGCUUAACCUGGGAACUGCAUCUGAAACUGUUAGGCUAGAGUAGGUGAGAGGGAAGUAGAAUUUCAGGUGUAGCGGUGAAAUGCGUAGAGAUCUGAAGGAAUACCGAUGGCGAAGGCAGCUUCCUGGCAUCGUACUGACACUGAGGCUCGAAAGCGUGGGUAGCAAACAGGAUUAGAUACCCCCGUAGUC
rnacentral:rRNA from 1 species